UCCUAGCCCCGAUAGCAGUGAAAAUCCUUUUCUCUCAUUUCUUUACGAGAGAAAAGAUUACAACGAAUAGCGGGAAACAGC
rnacentral:sRNA from 1 species